rnacentral:pre_miRNA from 1 species
GAGGUGUGUGGAUUGCUGUUUCAGUGAAAAUCCAGUGUGGUGGAGCGCGUGCUUUUCCUUAGGUAAGGAAAAGCACGCGCUCCACUACACUGGAUUUUCAUUAGAACAGCGGUCCACGCACCUC